rnacentral:rRNA from 1 species
UACGGAGGGAGCUAGCGUUGUUCGGAAUUGCUGGGCGUAAAGCGCACGUAGGCGGCUUUGUAAGUUAGAGGUGAAAGCCCGGGGCUCAACUCCGGAAUUGCCUUUAAGACUGCAUCGCUUGAAUCCAGGAGAGGUGAGUGGAAUUCCGAGUGUAGAGGUGAAAUUCGUAGAUAUUCGGAAGAACACCAGUGGCGAAGGCGGCUCACUGGACUGGUAUUGACGCUGAGGUGCGAAAGCGUGGGGAGCAAACAGG